rnacentral:rRNA from 1 species
CCUACGGGUGGCAGCAGUGGGGAAUAUUGGACAAUGUGGGCAACCCUGAUCCAGCCAUGCCGCGUGUGUGAAGAAGGCCCUCGGGUUGUAAAGCACUUUCAGUGAGGAAGAACGCCUGGUGGUUAAUACCCAUCAGGAAAGACAUCACUCACAGAAGAAGCACCGGCUAACUCCGUGCCAGCAGCCGCGGUAAUACGGAGGGUGCGAGCGUUAAUCGGAAUUACUGGGCGUAAAGCGCGCGUAGGUGGCUUGAUAAGCCGGUUGUGAAAGCCCCGGGCUCAACCUGGGAACGGCAUCCGGAACUGUCAAGCUAGAGUGCAGGAGAGGAAGGUAGAAUUCCCGGUGUAGCGGUGAAAUGCGUAGAGAUCGGGAGGAAUACCAGUGGCGAAGGCGGCCUUCUGGACUGACACUGACACUGAGGUGCGAAAGCGUGGGUAGCAAACAGGAUUAGAUACCCUGGUAGUC